AGGAAUAUUGGUCAAUGGACGAGAGUCUGAACCAGCCAAGUAGCGUGAAGGAUGAAGGUUCUAUGGAUUGUAAACUUCUUUUAUACGGGAAUAAACGAAUCCACGCGUGGAUUUUUGCAUGUACCGUAUGAAUAAGGAUCGGCUAACUCCGUGCCAGCAGCCGCGGUAAUACGGAGGAUCCGAGCGUUAUCCGGAUUUAUUGGGUUUAAAGGGAGCGUAGAUGGGUUGUUAAGUCAGUUGUGAAAGUUUGCGGCUCAACCGUAAAAUUGCAAUUGAUACUGGCAGUCUUGAGUACAGUUGAGGUAGGCGGAAUUCGUGGUGUAGCGGUGAAAUGCUUAGAUAUCACGAAGAACUCCGAUUGCGAAGGCAGCUUACUAACCUGUAACUGACAUUGAUGCUCGAAAGUGUGGGUAUCAAACAGGAUUAGAUACCCUGGUAGUCCACACGGUAAACGAUGAAUACUCGCUGUAGGCGAUAUACAGUCUGCGGCCAAGCGAAAGCAUUAAGUAUUCCACCUGGGGAGUACGCCGGCAACGGUGAAACUCAAAGGAAUUGACGGGGGCCCGCACAAGCGGAGGAACAUGUGGUUUAAUUCGAUGAUACGCGAGGAACCUUACCCGGGCUUAAAUUGCAACCGAAUAUGGCGGAAACGCUAUAGCUAGCAAUAGCGGUUGUGAAGGUGCUGCAUGGUUGUCGUCAGCUCGUGCCGUGAGGUGUCGGCUUAAGUGCCAUAACGAGCGCAACCCUUGCCGAUAGUUACUAACAGGUUAUGCUGAGGACUCUGUCGGGACUGCCAUCGUAAGAUGUGAGGAAGGUGGGGAUGACGUCAAAUCAGCACGGCCCUUACGUCCGGGGCUACACACGUGUUACAAUGGGGGGUACAGAGGGCUGCUACCACGCAAGUGGAUGCCAAUCCCAAAAACCUCUCUCAGUUCGGAUUGAAGUCUGCAACCCGACUUCAUGAAGCUGGAUUCGCUAGUAAUCGCGCAUCAGCCACGGCGCGGUGAAUACGUUCCCG
rnacentral:rRNA from 1 species